GUUUUUGUGUCCUUACGAUAUGAGCGCUAUCCUGAGAUUCCAACAUGGUCAGAGUCCAGUUAAUCCAGCCUGUAAUUCAAACAAGUGAUCAUCAUUUUCAACCCAACAUCUCCCAUAAUUGCUCUUCUUUCUUGAGCUAGUAAGCUUCACCCAGCCAAGUCAUUCUAAGCCAUCCAAAUCAUAAUGGAUGCUUCCAAACAUUAUAGGAAGCAUCCACAAAGACUGCCUGCAUCCAUCCAUUUGUCUCCUAAUAUCACAAUUAAGUCAAUAGAACAACACAAAAUUGGUUUGUGCAUCAAGUCUCACUAACUACGGUCAAAGAUUUCUGCAAUACGUUAAACUUCAAACUUCCGCCUUAUCCAUUAUGAGUCUCCGCUCCAUGAACUGUUUUUAUGAAGAGGCACACAACCAAUCAAAAGGUUUGUGCAUGAAAACCCAAUAUCUACGGUCCACUACUUCAAAAAGUUGAGUGUGCAACUAACAUGGACAUCUGUACAAUGUUUCAGUUGUGUAAACACUAUCAAUCAGUUAAUGUUCCAUGACUGUAUUUUCAGAUUUCUGCAAUGUUACACUUCAAACUUCCGCCUUAUCUAUUAUGAUUCUCCGCUCCAUGAACUGUUUUUAUGAAGAGGCACACAACCAAUCAAAAGGUUUGUGCAAUACGUUACACUUCAAACUUCCGCCUUAUCCAUUAUGAUUCUCCGCUCUAUGAACUGUUUUUAUGAAGAGGCACACAACCAAUCAAAAGGUAAAUUCAUAUAUCUGCAAUACUCGAAUUGACUCAUUUCUUAAAGCAGUCUUUCACCUGUUGAAACUUUUUCAGGUUUGUGCAUGAAAACCCAAUUUCUACUGUCCACUACUCCCAAAAGGUGAGUGUGCAGCGAACAUAGACAUAGUACAAUGUUUCAGUUGUGUAAACACUAUCAAUUAGUUAAUGUUCCAUGACUGUAUUUUCAGAUUUCUGCAAUGUUUCACUUCAAACUUCCGCCUUAUCCAUUAUGAUUCUCCGCUCCAUUAACUGUUUUUAUGAAGAGGCACACAACCAAUCAAAAGGUUUGUUCAAUACGUUACACUUCAAAAUUCCUCCUUAUCCAUUCUGAAUCUCCGCUCCAAGAAACCGUUUUUAUAUAGCUGCACAAAACCGAUAAAAGUUUUGUGCAAAACAAGUAAAUAACUACUGUCCACUACUCCCAAAAG